rnacentral:rRNA from 1 species
UCGAGAAUCUUUCGCAAUGGGCGAAAGCCUGACGAAGCGACGCCGUGUGAGCGAUGAAGGCCUUCGGGUUGUAAAGCUCUUUCGCCUGGGAGCAAGAGAUUGUGGUGAAAAGCCAUGAGAUUUGAGAGUACCAGGUAAAGAAGCACCGGCUAACUCCGUGCCAGCAGCUGCGGUAAUACGGAGGGUGCAAGCAUUAAUCGGAUUUAUUGGGCGUAAAGGGCGCGUAGGCGGAUGUGCAAGUUAAGUGUGAAAUUCCAGGGCUCAAUUCUGGAGCGGCACUUAGUACUGCAUAUCUCGAGGAUUGGCGGAGAAAAUGGAAUUCCACGUGUAGCGGUGAAAUGCGUAGAUAUGUGGAAGAACACCUGUGGCGAAAGCGAUUUUCUAGCUUAGACCUGACGCUGAGGCGCGAGAGCAAGGGGAGCAAACAGG